GGAGCCGGGCACAAGUCCGCUCGGCCGAAACGUGAGAUUUCUCUGAAGUAACAAAUCAACCACGGACACACGGUUCGGGCCAGCGCGUUUCCCGCCCGCCUCCCGGGGCGCCGCGAGCCGGGCCGAACCCGGGCUGGGCCGCCGCCCCACCGCCCUCGGUGUCGGCCGUGAACCUCCGGGGGGGCUGAGGACGCGGAGCCCGAGGGAAGAGGGGCCGGAAAUCUCCGAGGAGCAGCAAAACGACUGAGAUGGAAAAAAGAUGAGAAGAUCCCUGGGCCGCCGUUCGGUCCAGUAAGAAAAGUAUAAUAGUUUCAGGAAGGGACCGCAGACGAGACAGAGCGGGGGAAUCAUCGAAGAAAUUCAAGAAAAUCAGAACUUCCCUGUUGCAGUGACUGGCAGGGGCCCACAGCACUUGGCAAACAGCGGGGUUGUUCCCGAGCGUGGGUGUGGGGACGCUCCUAAGCGCCCACCUGACCAGACAUCCACCUGAACGUGGGCUCUUCUCUGCUAUGGUCUGAAUAUCUGUGUCCUCCAAAAAUCCGUUGUUGAAGCCCUGACUCCGCCAAUGUGAUGGUGUUAGAAGGGGGGUCUUCUAACCUCAUGAGGUCAUGAGGGCAGAGAUUCCAUGAAUGGGAUUAGUGUUCUUAGAAGAGAGACCCCACAAGGCUCCCCGCCUCCCCUUCUCCAGGUGAGGACACAGCGAGAAGACGCGGCCCAUGAACCAGAACGGGGGCCCUCACCAGACACAGACUCUCUUGAUCUUGGAUUUCCAGCCUCCAGAAAUGUGAGAACUCAAGCCCCCCAGUCUGUGGCAUCUGUUACAGCAGCCCAGAUGGACUCCGACUCACCCCCGAGGUUGUCCGUCAGCGUUCCCAUCCCAUCCAUCAUUCCUGGGCUCAGUCGUGCAGACUCCCCUCCUUGCUUCCUGCCUUACCUCACAUCCAGUCCUGCUGGUUUCUCCUUCAGCAUCUUUCAGAAACCAGCCACUUCCCACCAUCACCCCUGCAACCAGGGGGCGGUGGGGAGGGUGCUGGGAAACCAUGGUGUCACAUCCUGAUUACUAAAAUAGCCUCCUCCUGGCUUCCCUGCUUAAACCUCCCUGCCCCGUCAGUCUGUCCCCAGCACAGCAGCUGGGUGGCCCAGUGACCACUCUUGUCACAUCCUAGCAUCCUGGACUCUGGGGUCCCCCACCUGGCAGACGGGAGCAGUCAUCCUGAGGAAGAUGGAACUGGGGGAAUAACUGUUGUGUUUGCUCUAUUGAGAGGAGAUUUGAACCACUGAGGGAGAGUUUGGGGCUAGAAGAAGGAUAAAUACCUAGAAAACUGAUCAAGAGGAAAAUAGGUGAGGGACUUCCCUGGUGGUCCAGUGGGUAAGACUCCGCGUUCCUAACGCAGUGGGCCCAGGUUCCAUCCUUGGUUGGGGAACUAGAUCCCACAUGCCGCAACUAAGUGUUUGUAUGCCGUGACUAAAGAUCCCAUGUGCUGCAACUAAGACCCUGCGCAGCCUAAAUAAAUACAUAAAUAUUUUUAAAAAGAGAAAAAUAGGCGAUAGUUAAAUACUGGGAGAACAGCAGCAAAGGCAAAGUAUCGCGUGGCUCUAGGAGGCUUGGCUCAGACAAGCAUUUACAGAAUUGCAAUAAUGUAAACACUUAUAAUGCAGACAUUGACGUUGGUCUAAUGAAUUUAGGCAGUCUCCCUCUCCCCCUCCCCCGUCCCCCUCUACCUCCCUCUCUCUCCCCAUCCUUCUCUCUCUCCCCCUCUCCUCUCUCCCUCCCUCUCCCCCCUCUCCCCUGCUCUCCCUCUCCCCGGCUCUCCCUCUCCCCCUCCCUCCCUCUCUUCCCUCUCCCUCCCUCCUUCUCUCUCCCUCCCUGCCUCUCUCUCCCUCUCCCCCUCUCUCCUUCUCUCUCCCCCUCUCCCCACCCGUCCCUCCCUCUCUCUCUCUCUCCAUCUCUCCCCCUUUCUCCCUCUCUCCCUCUCUUGGGCAGGGAUGGGGGCACAGGAAGGGUGUGGCGUGGAGAGAGACGCUGAGGCUGGGUGUCCAUCACAGGAGCAAAGAGCGCCGGGGUGGACACGUGGAGAUCCUCCCACUGGAAAACUGGAACACAAAGCCACGUGCACUAGGAUUUCCCGCUGUGCACUCAGACAAGCUCUGAAGGAUGGGACAGCACCUAGGAGGGAGGCACCUGUCCUCUGAAGAGACGGGCUCCCGGGAUCACCGCCGCUUUGGUCUCCCAUGGCCACGUAGACCCUGAGCAGGUGCACGGUCAGUGGAAGUGGAAUGAAUGGGCGGCUUCUCCCGAAGGCAGAUAAGAGCCUCCCCACCUGACAACUUGCCCUGAGGCCCCCUGUCCACUCCCAACCCCCAGCCUUUCCCAGGGGAAACCCUUCCAGCUGGAGCACCCAGGAGCCGCAGGAGACCAGGAAACAAGAUGCGUUGGAGGAAGCAGCCCCUCUUUUUUCCUGGUGGACGCUGUGUCUGUGUGUGAUGUCUGGAAUUGCCACUGCCAUCUUGUAACCGUGAGGAGUGCCGUCCUGAGAGUGAGCCAGUGGGAAGCCAGGCAGACAGAGCCUGAGUCCAGGGCGAUAUCCAGAGCCACUGCGCUUACAUGUGGAGCCCUCCUGCCUCCAGACUUCUGCUUGGCUGGGCCUCCACCUUCUGCUGCCCUUGGACCUUGGGGCUCCCGGUUCUCAGAUGCUGCUUUGGACUGAAUCACCCUUGCAGACGGCGUAUGGUGGGACUCCUCGGCCUCCGUGACCACGUUGCUACUUCCCAUAACAAAUCUCUUCUCACAUGUAUCUAUAUGUACCCUACUGGUCUGUCUCUCUGGAGAACCCUGACCGAGCACAGGGUGGUCUCAGGGAAGCUUCUCUCGGGACACCUUUUUAAUGGGAAAGAAUGACACAGAUGGCCCGUCGUCACCCAGACUUGGGCAUCUGCAGACAGUUCCUUGAAAAUGAAUGAAGUAAACCUGCCAGUUCAAGAAAAACACCUGACGGUAUUUGUGUAAAUGGUAGCAAUUUGUCCUGCAAUCCCACUCCUGUGCAUGUAUCUGGAGAAAACCAUAAUUCAAAAAGAUACACGCACCCCAGUGUUCACUGCAGCACUGUUGACAAGACAUGGACACAACCUAAGCAUCCAUUAACAGAUGAAUGGAUAAAGAAUAUGUGGUAUUUAUACACAUGAUGGAACACUACUCAGCCAUAAAAAAGAAUGAAAUAAUACUAUGUGCAGCAACAUGGAUGGACCUACAGAUUAUCAUACUGAGUGAAGUUAAGUCAGAAAGAGAAAGACAAAUAUCAUAUAAUAGCACUUAUAUGUAGAAUAUAAAAAAAUGAUACAAAUGAACUUACUUACAAAACAGAAAUAGACUCAUAAACAUAGAAAACAAACAUGGUUACCAAAGGGAAAAGGGGGGAGGGCUAAAUUAGGAGGUUCGGUUUAACACACACACAAUACUAUGUAUGAAAUAGAUAACCAACGAGUACCUACUGUAUAGCACAGGGCACUGUGUUCACUAUCUUGUAACAUAAUGGAAAAGAAUUUGAAAAAAUAUCUAUACAGAGGUAGAUAGAGGUAUGUAUAUGUAUGUAUAUAUAUAUAUAUAUAUAUAUAUGUAUGGAACUGAACCACUGUGCUGCACACCUGGCACUAACACGACAUUGUAAAUCAACUCUACUCCAAUUUAAAGAAAAAUAAUUAUUACUGGGAAAAAUGAGAUAUUUACCAGGAAGAAAAAAGGGAACAUUUGAACUCACAAGAGAAAAUUCUAAUUUUGGAAAAAUUGUGCUACUUCUUUAAUCUUAACAGCUUUGCAACACUUAAGGACAUUUCUGAGAGCAGGGAUAAUAUUAAUAAAUGUGAACUUUUACAUAAAAAAGUGUCAAUAUUUGGAUGCAUAACUCAAUGAACCAAUAUUUUCCAAUGACCCACGUGGGAUGUUAUGAAAUCAUUCCUCGGGGAAUGAUCCACUCAGAGUGCAAAACACACCAGUAGAUUUUCAUGGAACAGAGUAGAAAAGGGUCACUGAUUUGGUGUCAGACUCCACAUUACAGCUAACCUUUAAGAAAACACUACUUGUUGAGUUUUGGUGUAGCAUCAAAGAAAAAAACAUCCCACAUUCUCUGUUAAUAAAAUACUCCACAACACAUACCUGUGUGAGGCCGAAUCUUCUCCACAUAUUUCACCCAGGACAGUGUAUCACAGAGACUGAAUGCAGAAGCAGAUGUGAGAAUCCAGCUGUCUCCUGUUAAGCCAGGCAUUACAGAAAUGUGCAGAAAUGUAAGAUAACGCCAACAAUGUACAAUAGUGAAAAAUACAUAAUAAUAAAUACAAAUAUAAAAAUAUAUAACAAUUUAAAAAAAUGUAAAAGUGUCUAGAAUUGUUUUUUUAAUAAUAAUAAAGAUGAUGUUUAUUAAGGGCUUCAUACUAUGUUAAGUGGGUUUUUUUUUAAGUUAUUACUAUAUUUUAUUAAUGAAGCAAAGUGACUAAUUUUUCUACAGUUACACAUCUAGUAAAUGACAGUUAGAUUUUUUUUGGUUAGUUUCUGCUUUAUAACAAAGUGAAUCAGUUAUACAUAUACACAUAUCACCAUAUCUCCUCCC